AUGCUGCUAUGUCCUGGUUCAUGCUCUGUCUCUUCCCACUGGAAUGAAGCCAAAGACCACAGGAGCCUGGACUUGUAAUGUGAUCAUAAAAUAUAAUAAAUGAAGGCUUUGAGAACA
rnacentral:lncRNA from 1 species